ensembl:lncRNA
CAAUUUUCACCCCUAAUGAACAAAAAUUUUCAUUUUUCCAUAAACAGAAGUUUUCAAUUUUUUAACCCCCCAUUAACAAAAAUUUUCACCCCCCAAUGAACAAAAAUUUUCAAUUUUCACUUCCCAAUUAACAAAAACUUUUAAUUUCCCAGUGAGAGUGGCGAGGACUGCGUGGUGAUCCUGGAUGACGAUGAGGAUGUGCAGGAGAUCCCCGAUGAUGGGGAUGGUGAGAAACCCCCAAUUCCCCCCCCCAAAACUGUGGGGGGACCCCAAAAUUCCUCCCCUGAGUAAAUUGGGGGGGUCAGAGCUGAUUUUGUGCCCCCCAAUUUUCCCUUUUUUUCCAGGCAGUGGCGUUGAAGAGAUCCCGACAGAGGAGCCCCCCGUGGGACACAGAGACCCCAAAAUGUAAUUUGGGGAGGGGGAUUUGGGGGUGCUGCACAUCCCCAACCCCCCGGAAUUGCGGGUAAUGAGGGGCUGGGGUCCCCCAAAACAGCUCAGGGUGUUUGAAGGCCUUUUCACAUCCCCCUCCCCAUUUUUGGGGGGUCCUAAAUCUCCUCAAUCCCCCCCUCACACACCAAGGGGACGAACACAAACAUUUCCUCAUUUCCUGGUUGGUUGUUUUUUUUUUUUUUUUUGUACAUUUUGGGUUCAAAACUUGUAAAAUUUGCUUUUUAUAUUGAAGAAUUAUAUUAUAAUAAAGAGAAAGUUUUAACAGAUUUAUGUGAGAUUUCCUCUUGAAUCACAAGGGAGUUUGUGGGGGAUUUCAGGGGGAUCUUCUUCUUCUCCUUCCUCUUCCUCCUGCUCUUCAAUUCCCACAAUUUGUGGUGGAAUUUUCCCCCUCAUCCCCACCGGUUCCGGUGCUUUCCCAGUUUCCAUCCCGUUCCCGGUGCCUCCAUCGCCCCGGUCCCGGUUUCCCUCCUCGUUUCUAUCCCGGUCCCGGUGCUUCCAUCCCGAUCCCGUUCCCGCUGCCCCAGCCUGGCUCCAGUCCCGUUCCCGCUGUCCCGGCCUCGCUCCCCGUCCUGAUCCCGUUCCUGGCUCCAUUCCCGCUGUCCCAGCCUGGCUCCGGUCCCGGUUCCUGUCCCAGUCCCGCUGCCCCAGCCUCUCUCCGGUCCCGUUCCCAGUCCCAAUCCCGUUUCUGGUCCCGUUCCCAUUCCCGCUGCCCCAACCUCGUUCCGGUCCCGAUCCCGUUCCGGGCCCUGUUCCUGCUGCCCCAGCCUGGCUCCGGUCCCGUUCCCGGUGUCCCAGCCUCGCUCCGGUCCCGAUACCAAUACCGUUCCCAGUCCCGAUCCCGUUCCUGGCCCCGUUCCUGCUGUCCCAGCCUCGCUCCGAUCCCGUUCCCGGUCCAGUUCCCGGUCCCCUUGCCCCAGCCUUGCUCCGGUCCCGAUCCCAAUCCUGUUCCUGGCCCCGUUCCCGCUGCCCCAGCCCCGCUCCGUUCCCGCUGUCGCUGUCCCGGUCCCGUUCCCGUUCCCGCCGUCGCUGUCCCGUUCCCGGCCUGCCCCUCCCCGCCCUCCCGCCAGGGGGCGCCACAACCGCGCGUCUCCACCAAUCAGCGGGCGGCAAAUCUGC